GGGUUGUGAGGUUAAGCGACUAAGCGUACACGGUGGAUGCCCUGGCAGUCAGAGGCGAUGAAGGACGUGCUAAUCUGCGAUAAGCGCCGGUAAGGUGAUAUGAACCGUUAUAACCGGCGAUUUCCGAAUGGGGAAACCCAGUGUGACUCGUCACACUAUCAUUAACUGAAUCCAUAGGUUAAUGAGGCGAACCGGGGGAACUGAAACAUCUAAGUACCCCGAGGAAAAGAAAUCAACCGAGAUUCCCCCAGUAGCGGCGAGCGAACGGGGAGGAGCCCAGAGCCUGAAUCAGCAUGUGUGUUAGUGGAAGCGUCUGGAAAGGCGCGCGAUACAGGGUGACAGCCCCGUACACAAAAGCGCAUGUGUUGUGAGCUCGAUGAGUAGGGCGGGACACGUGGUAUCCUGUCUGAAUAUGGGGGGACCAUCCUCCAAGGCUAAAUACUCCUGACUGACCGAUAGUGAACCAGUACCGUGAGGGAAAGGCGAAAAGAACCCCGGCGAGGGGAGUGAAAAAGAACCUGAAACCGUGUACGUACAAGCAGUGGGAGCACCCUUUGGGGUGUGACUGCGUACCUUUUGUAUAAUGGGUCAGCGACUUAUAUUCUGUAGCAAGGUUAACCGAAUAGGGGAGCCGGAGGGAAACCGAGUCUUAAUUGGGCGUUAAGUUGCAGGGUAUAGACCCGAAACCCGGUGAUCUAGCCAUGGGCAGGUUGAAGGUUGGGUAACACUAACUGGAGGACCGAACCGACUAAUGUUGAAAAAUUAGCGGAUGACCUGUGGCUGGGGGUGAAAGGCCAAUCAAACCGGGAGAUAGCUGGUUCUCCCCGAAAGCUAUUUAGGUAGCGCCUCGUGAAUUCAUCUCCGGGGGUAGAGCACUGUUUCGGCUAGGGGGCCAUCCCGGCUUACCAACCCGAUGCAAACUGCGAAUACCGGAGAAUGUUAUCACGGGAGACACACGGCGGGUGCUAACGUCCGUCGUGAAGAGGGAAACAACCCAGACCGCCAGCUAAGGUCCCAAAGUCAUGGUUAAGUGGGAAACGAUGUGGGAAGGCCCAGACAGCCAGGAUGUUGGCUUAGAAGCAGCCAUCAUUUAAAGAAAGCGUAAUAGCUCACUGGUCGAGUCGGCCUGCGCGGAAGAUGUAACGGGGCUAAACCAU
rnacentral:rRNA from 1 species